UACGAAGGGGGCUAGCGUUGCUCGGAAUUAUUGGGCGUAAAGCGCACGUAGGCGGCUCUUUAAGUCGGGGGUGAAAUCCUGGAGCUCAACUCCAGAACUGCCUUCGAUACUGGAGAGCUUGAGUCCGGGAGAGGUGAGUGGAACUGCGAGUGUAGAGGUGAAAUUCGUAGAUAUUCGCAAGAACACCAGUGGCGAAGGCGGCUCACUGGCCCGGUACUGACGCUGAGGUGCGAAAGCGUGGGGAGCGAACAGG
rnacentral:rRNA from 1 species